rnacentral:rRNA from 1 species
AGAGUUCGAUCCUGGCUCAGGAUGAACGCUGGCGGCGCGCCUAACACAUGCAAGUCGAACGGCACCCCUCUCCGGAGGGAAGCGAGUGGCGAACGGCUGAGUAACACGUGGAGAACCUGCCCCCUCCCCCGGGAUAGCCGCCCGAAAGGACGGGUAAUACCGGAUACCCCGGGGUGCCGCAUGGCACCCCGGCUAAAGCCCCGACGGGAGGGGAUGGCUCCGCGGCCCAUCAGGUAGACGGCGGGGUGACGGCCCACCGUGCCGACAACGGGUAGCCGGGUUGAGAGACCGACCGGCCAGAUUGGGACUGAGACACGGCCCAGACUCCUACGGGAGGCAGCAGUGGGGAAUCUUGCGCAAUGGGGGGAACCCUGACGCAGCGACGCCGCGUGCGGGACGGAGGCCUUCGGGUCGUAAACCGCUUUCAGCAGGGAAGAGUCAAGACUGUACCUGCAGAAGAAGCCCCGGCUAACUACGUGCCAGCAGCCGCGGUAAUACGUAGGGGGCGAGCGUUAUCCGGAUUCAUUGGGCGUAAAGCGCGCGUAGGCGUCCCUUCAAGCGGCACCGUCGAAGCCGGGGGCUCAACCCCCGGAAGCGGGCCGAACUGGGGGGAUCGAGUGCGGUAGGGGAAGGCGGAAUUCCCGGUGUAGCGGUGAAAUGCGCAGAUAUCGGGAAGAACACCGACGGCGAAGGCAGCCUUCUGGGCCGCCACUGACGCUGAGGCGCGAAAGCUGGGGGAGCGAACAGGAUUAGAUACCCUGGUAGUCCCAGCCGUAAACGAUGGGCGCUAGGUGUGGGGGGAGAUGUCCCUCCGUGCCGCAGCCAACGCAUUAAGCGCCCCGCCUGGGGAGUAC